rnacentral:lncRNA from 2 species
CCGUUGGUUGUAAAGCCCGGCAUAAACCAAACCCAAGGUCGAAGUGCUGCUCCUGGCACCCCAUGCCUUGAUGCGUACAGCGGUCGGAGCUUCACUAUUCCCUCGACCUCCACAGCACGCCGCACAGUUAGCUCUCGGGCUCUGUGUGUGAUCCUAGCCGCCACUCACGGUUGUCGGAGUAACACUUCCGCCCCACUAAACCCACACAAACCUCCUAUCCCUCUAGCCCCCGGCAAAACCAAACCUAAGGUCGAAGUGCUGCUCCUGGCACCCCACGCCUCGAUGCGUAUAGUGGUCGGAGCUUCACUGUUCCCUCGACCUCCACAGCACGCCGCACAGUUAGCUCUUGGGCUCUGUGUGAUCCUAACCGUUCUGCUGCCACUCACGGUUGUCGGAGUAACACUUCCGCCCCACUAA